rnacentral:rRNA from 1 species
GAUGAACGCUGGCGGCGUGCCUAAUACAUGCAAGUCGAGCGAACGGACGAGGAGCUUGCUCCUUUGACGUUAGCGGCGGACGGGUGAGUAACACGUGGAUAACCUACCUAUAAGACUGGGAUAACUUCGGGAAACCGGAGCUAAUACCGGAUAAUAUAUUGAACCGCAUGGUUCAAUAGUGAAAGACGGUUUUGCUGUCACUUAUAGAUGGAUCCGCGCCGCAUUAGCUAGUUGGUAAGGUAACGGCUUACCAAGGCAACGAUGCGUAGCCGACCUGAGAGGGGGAACCGCCCCAACUGGAACUGGACACCGGCCCAACCCCCACGGGGGGGAGGAGUAGGGAAUCUUCCGGAAUGGGGGGAAACCCGACGGAGCAAACCCGGGGGGGGUGAUAAGGGCCUUGGAAUGGAAAACCCUUUUUUUUGGGAAAAAAAAAAUUGUAAAGUAACAUUCACCUUUUGAAGGGAACCAAACAGAAAACCCAGGCUAAAUUAGGG